rnacentral:rRNA from 1 species
GACGAACGCUGGCGGCGUGCUUAACACAUGCAAGUCGAACGGAAAGGCCCUGCUUUUGUGGGGUGCUCGAGUGGCGAACGGGUGAGUAACACGUGAGUAACCUGCCCUUGACUUUGGGAUAGCUUCAGGAAACUGGGGUUAAUACCGGAUAGGAGCACCUGCUGCACAGUGGGGGAUGGAGAGAUUCGGCGGUUGGUGAUGGACACGCGGCUUAUCAGCUUGUUGGUGGGGUAGUGGCUUACAAAGGCUUUGACGGGUAGCCGGCCUGAGAGUGUGACCGGCCACAUUGGGACUGAGGUACGGCCCGGACUCCUUCGGGAGGCAGCAGUGGGGAAUAUUGCACAAUGGGCGGAAGCCGGAUGCAGCAACGCCGCGUGCUAGAUGACUGCCUUCGGGUUGUAAACCGCGUUCGCCUGUGACGAAGCGUGAGUGACGGUAAUGGGUAAGGAAGCACCGGCUAACUACGUG